AUUUUCAACGAUGGAUGUCUUGGCUCCCAUAUCGAUGAAGAACGCAGCAAGAAUGCGAUAUGCAAUGUGAAUUGCAGAACCAUGAAUCAUCCGAUUUUCUAACGUACCUGACACUGGUUUCAACCAGUAUACUUGUUUCAGUGUGACUAAUCAAAUAUUAAAAAUAAAUGUAUGAGAUAUACUCAUAUUAAAUUAAUGCUCAUUGUAGCAAUCGGAUUUAUAUCUGAAUAUACAAUAGAGAUUAUUUUAAGCUUCACCUGAAAUCAAGUAAGAUGACUCGCUGGACUUAAGCAUAUUAUUAAGCGAAGGAAAAGAAAUUAACAAAGAUUGCCUUAGUAAGGGCGACUGAACCGGCAAUAGCUCGAAAUUGAAAUCUCUUAUUCAAAGAAUAAGCGAAUUGUAAUCGAGAUCGCCAAAAUACGAACAUAUAUUUAAUGGUGUCGAAUCACCAGCCAGAGAGAGUGAAAGCCUCGUAAAGUAUGUGUUCGAAACAGGGGAUUUCUCAAAGAGUCAGGUUGCUUGGAACUGCAGCCUUAAGCGGGAGAUAUGAAACUUCCAAAGCUAAAUAUUGAUGGGAGACCGAUAGCGAACAAGUACUGUGAAGGAAAGAUGAAAAGGACUUUGAAAAGAGAGUGAAAAGAUCUGAAAUCGUUGAGAAGGAUGCGGUAAAAACUGAUGUUCGUUAUGAAAGGUAUUAGGGUCAAAAACUCUAUAUCCUAUCAAAAUGAUGGGCAAAAUGAAGUUAAUUACAUCAAAAAAGGCGCAAGCUGGUUAGGGUGUGAUUGGCUUGAGGGACUAUUGUGAUUUUGCCAAAAUGGUUUUUACUGUCCCGUCUUGAAACACGGACCAAGGAGUCUACCCUAUAUGCGAGUGUGCGAGUGGAGAAACUCAUACGCGGAAUGAAAGUGAAAGGUGUGAAAUCGCAAGAUGCAACAUCGACCGACCCGGCAUGAAGGGUUUGAGUAUGAGCAUAUCUGGUAGGACCCGAAAGAUGGUGAACUAUGCCUGAAUAGGGCGAAGUCAGGAGAAAUCUUGAUGGAGGCUCGAAGCGGUGUUGACGUGCAAAUCACUCGUCAAAUUUGGGUAUAGGGGCGAAAGACUAAUCGAACCAUCUAGUAGCUGGUUCCCUCUGAAGUUUCCCUCAGGAUAGCAGGAACAAUAUUGCAGUUUUAUCAGGUAAAGCGAAUGAUUAGAGGUUACUGAGCGUUUUUUGUUUGGACCUAUUCUCAAACUUUAAAUUGGUAAGAACUCGUGGUUUUCUUAAAUGAAUCAUGAGACAGAAUGCAUGUUCUUAGUGGGCCAUUUUUGGUAAGCAGAACUGGCGAUGAGGGAUGAACCUAACGUCGAGUUAAGGUGCCUAACUAUACGCUCAUCAGAUACCACAAAAGGUGUUGAUUCAUCUAAACAGCAGGGCGGUGGACAUAGAAGUCGUUACCCGCUAAGGAGUGUGUCAUGACUCACCUGCCGAAUGAAUUAGCCCUGAAAAUGGAUGGCGCUCAAACGUAUGACCGAUACUCGACCAUCAUUAUAAAAGUAAAUAAUGAUGAGUAAGAGGGCGUGGAUGUUGUGAGAAGCCUUUGGCGUGAGCCUGGGUUGAACGGCAUCUAGUGCAGAUCUUGGUGGUAGUAGCAAAUAGCCAAUUGGAAACGUUGGCGGCCGAAGUGGAGAAGGGUUCCCUGCGAACAGCAUUUGGUCAGGGGUUACUCGGUCCUAAAUUCCUGGUUAAACCUGUAUAAGGUGCUCUCUAGCACAGAAUGAAAGGGAAUCAGGUUGAAAUUCCUGAAGCUAAUUAGGGAUUCGUGGUAACACAAACUAGCUUGGAGACGUCAGCACGUGCCCUUGGAAGAGUUUUCUUUUCUUCUUAACAUGUAUGAGGCCUCGAAAUUGGAUUACCCAGAGAUGAGGCUUUAAGCAUGGCAGAGCAUCUUGCUUUUUCGAGAUGUCAGGUGCGCUCGUGAUGAUCCUUGAAAAUCCAAGUCAGAAAUAUCCCUUUUAGGCCGUACCCAUAACCGCAUCAGGUCUCCAAGGUUAGCAGCCUCUGGUCGAUAGAAUAAUGUAGAUAAGGGAAGUCGGCAAAAUAGAUCCGUAACUUCGGGAAAAGGAUUGGCUCUAAGGAUUGGUCUGCGCUAUCCUGACGUGUAAGUGCUCUUUUGUAUGUCUGAAAGGACGUGCAAUGGACGCUUACAUUUCUCGAUGGACAGGCAAUAAACGAUCAACUUAGAACUGGCGCGGACAAGGGGAUUCCGACUAUUUAAUUAAAAUAAAGCAUUGUGAUGACCACAAAAGGUGUUGACACAAUGUGAUUUCUGCCCAGUGCUCUGAAUGUCAAGGUGAAGUAAUUCAAACAAGCGCGGGUAAACGGCGGGAGUAACUAUGACUCUCUUAAGGUAGCCAAAUGCCUCGUCAUCUAAUUAGUGACGCGCAUGAAUGGAUUAACGAGAUUCCCACUGUCCCU
rnacentral:rRNA from 1 species